AUACGCCGAGCCGGUUUUUGAGCGCUAACGUCUUUCUGUCUCCCCGCGGUGGUGAUGACGGUGAAAACCGAGGCUGCUAAGGGCACCCUCACUUACUCCAGGAUGAGGGGCAUGGUGGCAAUUCUCAUCGGUGAGUGCAGGAAUCUUGCGGGACUUCUGCUCCAGGAGACGCAAAGUGGAAAUGUUUUGAAAGUCCCGGAUCAGAUUAGUGUAUGUGGCGCCGGACGUUAUCAAGCCGUCUAAACGUUUCUUGAUUUCUCCUUCAUCCACAGCUUUCAUGAAGCAGAGGAGGAUGGGUCUGAACGACUUUAUUCAGAAGAUUGCCAAUAACUCCUAUGCAUGCAAACACCCUGAAGUUCAGUCCAUCUUGAAAAUUUCCCAACCUCAGGAGCCUGAGCUUAUGAAUGCCAACCCUUCUCCUCCAGUAAGUUUUUCUAUGUGCCGUGCAUCUGUGGAGAACUGUAAGGGAGUCAGUUAGUAUUCCUACAUUAAUGGAUUAAAAUAGCAUUUCUAGAAAUUA
rnacentral:sRNA from 1 species